rnacentral:rRNA from 1 species
CCUACGGGUGGCAGCAGUGAGGAAUAUUGGUCAAUGGGCGCGAGCCUGAACCAGCCAAGUAGCGUGAAGGAUGACUGCCCUACGGGUUGUAAACUUCUUUUAUAAAGGAAUAAAGUGCGGCACCUGUUCAUUUUUGUCUGUACUUUAUGAAUACGGAUCGGGUAACUCCGUGCCAGCAGCCACGGUAAUACGGAGGAUCCGAGCGUUAUCCGGAUUUAUAGGGUUUAAGGGGAGCGUAGAUGGGUGGUUAAGUCUGUUGUGAAAGUUUGCGGCUCAACCGUAAAAUUGCAAUUGAUACUGGCAGGCUUGAGUGCAGUUGAGGUAAGUGGAAUGCGUGGUGUAGCGGUGAAAUGCGUAGAUAUUACGAAGAACGCCGAUUGCGAAGGCAGCUUACUAAACUGUAACUGACAUUGAGGCUCGAAAGUGUGGGUAUCAAACAGGAUUAGAUACCCGUGUAGUC